UGUAAGCGUAUACCAAAGUUGUUGCAGUUAAAACGCUCGUAGUCGGAAUUUGGCAGUUCCGGAUGUGUGCACGUCGUGUGCGCACUUCGCGGGGAUUGCUUUUGUGGUCUUGCGUAGGAUGAGGCACUUUUAUUAGUGAACGUCCUCACGCAACCACUUUUUACUGUGAGAAAAUCAGAGUGCUCAAAGCAGGCAUUUGCCGUGAAUGUAUUAGCAUGGAAUAAUAGAAUAGGACUUGGUUCUAUUUUGUUGGUUUGUUGGGACUGAGUAAUGAUUAAGAGGGACAGUUGGGGGCAUUUGUAUUUCGGUGCUAGAGGUGAAAUUCUUAGAUUACCGAAAGACAAACUGCUGCGAAAGCAUUUGUCAAGGAUGUUUUCAUUAA
rnacentral:rRNA from 1 species